CCCAAAUAAACACUAUGCGGUUUCUCACCCCCACAAGUGAAACCUACUCAAAAUCAAUUCACCCCCAAAUUGAAAACCCUCGUCUGCCGCUUAACCCUGCAACCGCUCCGGCGACCAAAAUCCCCAUCACAAAUUCGAUCGAUCAAAACCUCCGCCGUUCACCAUCGAGAGCCAGGCCACCACCGCUCCCUUUCUCUCUAGCUACUCCUCCCUAACGACCUCAACAUCAUCAUUGUUGCCAGACAUCUGUUAUUGCUUGCCCCAUCGUGCUGUAACCACCGAUGUUGUCGUCUCUCUCAUUGAGACUACUGCACUCUCUCUCUUGGUACUCUUUCCCGGCGACCUCAACAUCGUAGCUAUUGCUCACAGCCGCCGUCUCCUUAAUUGAGAAGAUCGUGGUUCACCAUUAACAGUUACAGCUCGAUCAAUCCUCUAGCGGGGACCGAUGACUCUUUCUAUUGCUUUGGAUUGGUGGUUACAGUUGUGGAUCCAAAACUUGGUGAUAACAUUAUUAGCUGUUGUUCAGCUCCGGGCGGAAAGACUCUUUUCAUGGCCUCAUGUCUAAAGGGCCAAGCUUAAGUGCAGUUGAUGUAAACAAAGGCCGAUUGAGAAUCCUCAAAGAGACGCCAAGCUGCAUGAACUUGAUCAAGUUAUCUAUACCAUUCAUGCUGAUCUUCAUGCGCUUGAUAGCAAUUGCUUGAAAGGUGAUAAAAUUCUGCUGGAUGCUCCUUGUUCUGGGUUGGGUGUAUGUAACAGAUCGGUUCCUGCAGUGAAUGUAUCAGUAAAUCUUUUAUUUCAGUAGUUCCUUUACUCUGCCGCUAAACUCUAAAACUAAAAUCAUAAUGACCCUUAAUUAUAUAAAAGUAAACCUAGAAACUGAAUAAAUUAAGAUAGCACUUAAAUAACUUUAAAUAAUUCUCUGUUAUCUCACUCCAGUUGUAUUGCUUUAUUCAAUUAUGAUAACCAUUAUCCCAAACUAAAUUUUAGUGUGUCCCUUUUGUACUGUUUAAUUACUUGCUUUAUUCUUUCUUUGCCUCUUCGUUUCUUUCUUUUCCUAGUAUCAUCUCUACUUAUUUUCUCAAUGCACUACUUGGCUGUUAUUUAUUCAUUUCUUUAAUACAGAGAGCAGAUUUGCGCUAGAAUAGGAGAUUGGAAGACAUGAAAGAACUUAUAAAUUUGCAAGAUACACUUCUUGAUUCAGCUUCAAACUACUCCAAGCAUUGGAUUAUUUUAUAGUUGUGGAGAGAGAAGGCCAAAUUACAGCUUGUUCAGCUCUUACUCACUGGUGCCAAUAUGUUCUUUGUACAUUUGUAUUGGGCCAUUGGCUGUAUAAAAGGGGAACAAGCAGAUUGAGUGAUUUGAUUGCUCUGUUAAUUGCUAUUUAGAAUUGCUUUGAUUUUUAUCUUGUGGAGGAAUUAUAAGUGUCUCUGUAUGACCAUGCAGAUUAUAUUGAGAAAAAGACAUCUUUUCUUGGACUUCAAACGCUUUUACUCUCAGGCUUUAGAGGAAGCCAUUGUUGAGUUGGAUACUUUGGGUGAAGAGUUCUACAAGGAUUGUAUCGUGAUUCGUGAAACUUUGUUACUUGGACACAUGAUGUAAUGUAUUGGAUUUGAACGUAAAUCUUGUAGUAUAUCUUAGUUUUAUUGAAUUAUUAGUUACAUUUC